GUUGUUUCUUUGCAUAAAGAGUGACCUUCCAGUCUGGUCAUUUGUCAUAAGGAAGCAUAGAUGCAAAUUUGGCCAGUAUUAAACAGCAUAGUGCAUUCUUCUCUCGCGCAAUGCUACCUGUCUCCUGGCACAUGG